GGAGAUGGGGAAAAGGGAGGGGGGAAGAAAAAGACGAGACACGGAAUCUCGGGAAACGAUUCCCUCUCGUGACCCGAAUGUGAAAAAACGAGGAGGAAACAUUUUCCUUCACAAAAAAGACGAAGGGGAAAGGGUUCUCAUCUUCCCUUCCUUUUUCCACGUAAAAAUCUGACAUUUUCCCCGUCCGCAAACGCCUUGCAUCCUCCUUACCCUAGGCCACCCUGCUCUCUCUCCCUCCCUUCCUCUUUCUCUCUCUCUCUGUGGGACAACCGGGGAGCUGCAAAGCUUCUGUUAGGAACACUGGCUAAAGCAGCUGCCUAAUUUCUGCUAUGUAUUUACAGGUGCAUGCCCAAAUUUUAAGAAAGGAGACAAUGGAGAGCUCAGCUGUAGGUCGUAACAAGAAGAAUAUAAGUUGGACACCACUUAUGGACCGUUACUUUAUAAACCUCAUGAUAAAAGAAGUGCAAAGAGGUGCGAAGGUAGAAAAUGCAUUCGUCAAGAAUGGUUGGAGCCGAAUGGAGAGGUUGUUUCAACAAAAAUUUGGGACUAUCUACAACAAGGAUUGCAUGAGAAAUCGUCUAAAAACUUUAAAGAAGCAAUAUAACAUCAUAAAAUCCCUAUGUGAACAAAGUUGGAUUGUUUGGAACCAUGAGUCUCAAAUGAUUAUUGUAAAUGAUGAGGCUGCAUGGGAGGCUUAUAUUAAGGAUCAUCCUGAAGCACAGAACUAUAGACACAAGCAAAUGGCAUACUAUGAAGAUUUAUGUGUUGCAUUUUCACGUAUCCCUGCUGAUGGGAAAGUCAAUAGUGUGGGAAAUUCUUCUGGGGCUAAAACCAUCAUGUGUGAGGAGGAGGCUCUUGAAGCUGCCACAGACCUACAAUCUUCACCUGUAUCUGAUGCUCAUGAAUAUUUGCUUGAUGAUGGACAUGGUUCACAAUCAUCAAAAUCAGGCAGCGAAGGAACAGAAAGCCCAGCCACAACCAGUCACGAUCGAAAGAAAAUGUACUGGACACCACUUAUGGACCAUUAUUUUAUAAGCCUCAUGGUAGAAGAAGUCCGCAAGGGAACCAAGAUUGACAACACAUUCAACAAACAUGGUUGGAACCGAAUGGAGAGGGCAUUUCAACAAAGAUUUGGCACUCAUUUUCACAGGGACUACCUGAGAAAUCGAUUAAAAACUUUAAGAAAGCAAUAUAAUGUCAUAAAAUCUGUGUGUGAAUACAGAGGGUUUGGUUGGAAUCGCGAGACGCAAAUGAUUACAGCGACUGAUGAGAGUUUGUGGGAUGAAUACACCAAGGAGCAUCCUGAAGCACGUCAAUACAAAGAUAAACCUCUUCCAUUUUUUGAGGAGCUAUGUGCUGUAUUUUCUCGCACAGUUGCUGAUGGAAGAUAUAGCAUAGCAGGAGUUAGCUUUCGCAGUAAGGAUGGCAUCCCGUCGAUGGAUGGUAUGGGAGCUUCGGUAGAUCCCUUAUCUUCACCUGUAUCCACUGGCCAUGAGCAUGCGGCUAAUGGCAUGCACGACUCAUCUGAAUCAGGAGAGGAUAAAGACAUAAGAAGCAAGAGGCGGAAACGUCGUUCUGUGACACCACACAGUUUAGAUCAUUCUAGAAAAUCCCAAAUUGCUGGAGAUGAUGUGGUAAAAGCUCUUCGGCAGAUGGCAGCUGCAGUUAAUAGCUUAGCAAAUGCUUUUAAAGAGGUCAAAAACUGUCAAUUGGUAGAAAAGUAUAUGUCUGCUCUCAGUGAAAUACCAGGCAUGGAUCCUGACCUUUUUUUAGCUGCUUGUGAUCUCCUGGAGGAGGAAAAGAAAGCUAAAACCUUUUUGGCAUUGAAUGUGGAGCUAAGGAAGAGAUGGUUGAUGAAAAAACUUCGUCCGUUCUAAUUACAUUCUUGGUAGAUAUCUGCUGCCUCUCCACUCUCCCUUCUUUCAGACUACACAUGUAAUUCUAACAUCUGUAUCCUACAGCAGUCUUGGAUUAAUACGAUCCACUUUUGCAGAUGACGUGGGUGGUAUUAAUCCAAAAAUGCAUUGCUACAUGUUGUAAAGGUGUCGUAAUGGAGAGCCAUUCCCAGGGUUGGAGACCUGGCUUUGCUGGUUUAAACUGUCACAUCUCCGGUUGCUUAUCCCAUUGAACAGCUUAAAAUUUCAGGAUAAAAAUCCAUCGAAUCUCAGGAACUACCGGUCCAUAUUCCAGCUAGUGAUGUCAAGAUUUGAGGUUUGGGUUGGAUAUGCAGCUGAACUGUGAGCCUGAUUAACUGGGGUUUGUAGAUAAAGAUUAUUCUGGUCUGACUGCUUGUUUUCAGUUAUAUGAUCAGAUCUGACAGGAAAAAUUACCACUAUGUGAUCCGGCCGAUUUGAGCCGUUUGUAGUUUGAUCAGAUUUGGUUUCAGCUACGAAAAUUUUUGGAUGUGGAGAAGUAUUUUUACCAUAUAUAACAAAGGCGAAGCUUCUGACAGAUUUACUUCGUAACGCGCUUCUCAUAAAAUAUGCAAAGCGAGAAUUGUACAGCCUCUCAAGUAACCAUAUCAGCUUAUUGAUGAGACUUGGGCAGUUAGCAGGAC